rnacentral:rRNA from 1 species
GACGAACGCUGGCGGCGUGCUUAACACAUGCAAGUCGAACGGAAAGGCCCUGCUUGCAGGGUACUCGAGUGGCGAACGGGUGAGUAACACGUGGGUGAUCUGCCCUGCACUUCGAGAUAAGCCUGGGAAACUGGGUCUAAUACCGGAUAGGAGCCAUUUUUAGUGUGAUGGUUGGAAAGUUUUUUCGGUGUAGGAUGAGCUCGCGGCCUAUCAGCUUGUUGGUGGGGUAAUGGCCUACCAAGGCGGCGACGGGUAGCCGGCCUGAGAGGGUGGACGGCCACAUUGGGACUGAGAUACGGCCCAGACUCCUACGGGAGGCAGCAGUGGGGAAUAUUGCACAAUGGGCGCAAGCCUGAUGCAGCGACGCCGCGUGGGGGAUGACGGCCUUCGGGUUGUAAACUCCUUUCGCUAGGGACGAAGCUUUUUGUGACGGUACCUAGAGAAGAAGCACCGGCUAACUACGUG